GAAAUAUUAGUAAAAUUUAAUUGAUUAUUCGAAUAAAAUUUUAAGUAUAUAUUAAUAAUGAUAAUAUAUAUAUAACGGUCUUGACUAAUUACGUGCCAGCAGUCGCGGUAAUACGUAAGAGACUAGUGUUAUUCAUUUUAAAUAGGUUUAAAGGGUACCCAGACGGUCAAAACAUCCUAAACCAGGUAAUAUUUGACUAGAGUUUUAUGUAAGGAGACAGUACUUAGAGUGGAGAGAUUAUAUUCUGUGAUACCAAGAGGACUGGUUAAUGCGAAGGCAGUCUUUUAUGUAAAAACUGACGUUGAAGGACGAAGGCAUAGGGCACGAACAGGAUUUGGAACCCCAGUAGUCUUUGCAGACAAUGCUGAAUACCAUAGAUUAGAUAUUAUUUAGUCUAUAAGUGAAAACGAAAGUAUUCCACCUCAAGAGUAAUGUGGCAACGCAGGAACUGAAAUCAC
rnacentral:rRNA from 1 species